UGCCUGCUUGUUUCCUGGCCCUAUGUGUUACCUGACUGCUGCAGACAGGCAGCUCAGCAUGAAAACCCUCACCAAGGCUGGACACAGGGACUGAGCCUCCCCUGGACUUGGAACCCUCCUGUGUUUUCCAUUUUCACCUGCCACUGCUCACCCUACCAAGCUCUGAAUUUCUGUGACCUUGCUUGGCAGGAAAAUCAGAGUCUCUGCAGGUGGCCAGCUGCCAGGGACAUUCAUUUUUUCCAAUUAGUGGAAAACAGAGGGUGUUACCUCUACCCAUGAUUUAAAAA
rnacentral:lncRNA from 1 species